UACGGAGGUGCGAGCGUUGUCCGGAUUUAUUGGGUUUAAAGGGUGCGUAGGCGGUCCAUUAAGUCUGGGGUGAAAGCCCGUUGCUCAACAACGGAACGGCCCUGGAAACUGCUGGACUUGAGUACAGACGAGGGUGGCGGAAUGGAUGCUGUAGCGGUGAAAUGCAUAGAUAGCAUCCAGAACCCCGAUUGCGAAGCAGA
rnacentral:rRNA from 1 species